GUCAUCGUCAUCGUCGUCUCCGCCUUCACCAUCGUCAUCGUCGUCUCCGCCUUCACCAUCAUCAUCGUCGUCUCCGCCUUCACCAUCGUCAUCGUCGUUUCCGCCUUCACCAUCGUCAUCGUCGUCUCCGCCUUCACCAUCGUCGUCCUCGUCGUCAUCCGCCGACUGAACCGGUGGCCCUCUGGAGGAUUGUAAGACCUGAACCUUGUCGUCUUCGUUGUCCUCGCCCCCCUCAUCAUCGUCUUCGUAGUCUUCGUCGUCCUCAUCUUCGUCACCGUCGUCGUCCUCGUCGCCAUCUUUCCGAUUCGACUAUGAGAGUGUGGAGAGCCCAGGGGAGGAAUCGAGAUUCGGGAGAAUAAGGGUGGGGGGAAUCGGGAGAUUGGAGAAUGUGGAAAAUGGGAUGGAGGGGUUCGGCGAAAGGUAUGGAGGGGGUUGGGCGUUGGGGUGCUGGCCUGCUGGGUUGGGUUGGGUUCGGUUCGGUUUUUCAGUUUGAUCGGUUAUUUAACAUAUUUAAACCGAACCGAACCGAAAACCGAAUAAUUUUAAAUUUACUAACCGAACCAAACCGAUCUUUUCGACUAACCGAAC
rnacentral:lncRNA from 1 species